AUUCCAGCUCCAAUAGCGUAUAUUUAAGUUGUUGCAGUUAAAAAGCUCGUAGUUGGAUUUCGGGCGGGGCCUGCCGGUCCGCCUUUGGUGUGCACUGGCAUGGGCUCGCCUCGCUGGCGGGGACGGGCUCCUGGGCUUAACUGUCCGGGACUCGGAGUCGCCGAGGUUACUUUGAGUAAAUUAGAGUGUUCAAAGCAGGCCUACGCUCUGAAUACGUUAGCAUGGAAUAACACGAUAGGACUCUGGCCUAUCUUGUUGGUCUGUGGGACCGGAGUAAUGAUUAAGAGGGACGGUCGGGGGCAUUCGUAUUUCAUUGUCAGAGGUGAAAUUCUUGGAUUUAUGAAAGACGAACUUCUGCGAAAGCAUUUGCCAAGGAUGUUUUCAUCG
rnacentral:rRNA from 1 species